GAUGAACGCUGGCGGCGUGCUUAACACAUGCAAGUCGAACGGGAAAUAUUUCAUUGAGACUUCGGUGGAUUUGAUCUAUUUCUAGUGGCGGACGGGUGAGUAACGCGUGGGUAACCUGCCUUAUACAGGGGGAUAACAGUCAGAAAUGGCUGCUAAUACCGCAUAAGCGCACAGAGCUGCAUGGCUCAGUGUGAAAAACUCCGGUGGUAUAAGAUGGACCCGCGUUGGAUUAGCUUGUUGGCGGGGUAACGGCCCACCAAGGCGACGAUCCAUAGCCGGCCUGAGAGGGUGAACGGCCACAUUGGGACUGAGACACGGCCCAGACUCCUACGGGAGGCAGCAGUGGGGAAUAUUGCACAAUGGGGGAAACCCUGAUGCAGCGACGCCGCGUGAAGGAAGAAGUAUCUCGGUAUGUAAACUUCUAUCAGCAGGGAAGAUAGUGACGG
rnacentral:rRNA from 1 species